GGGAGGGAAGGACCUGCAGGAGCCAGGGCUGCCCGCGAGCUGCAGUUGCUGCUGCUGCCACUGUCGCGCCACCGCCGCUGUCGCUGUCAGCACCAGUCUGGAGAGUGACAGCACUGAAAAAGCAGGAGGGAGAACCGAACCCCGUGCCUUUACGAAACAAGUGCAUGCGCCCAUCUCCUGGCGAGUGGACCCAGCUCGCAAGGUAACCAUUCAUGAGCUUGAGGCUGUGAGAAAUGCUCACUGUGCAAAGGGGAACUCUCACCAGAUUUUCUGAAGCUGUCCUAGAAAUACAGUUUUCAGAUUGAUUCAGCAUUACCAGCUUAUCCGACAAAAGUAUUAACAUAUACAUUAACAACGUCGAAAGUAGCCUACUUUAAGAGAAAAUAUGCAGAAGAAGAAGAUUUACAUCAAGAUUACCAUGGGUAUUUUCCAAAACACCUGAUAUUACCUGAGGACAGGACUUGCAUUCUCAAACUGUCCCUGGAGAAGCUCAGGUUUCUUGAAGACCCAGAAACCUACUUGAGAAGGUCUGUGUUAAUUAACAAUUUGCUGAGGAAGAUCCAUCUAGAGACGGAGAGAGAGAGCUAUGAAUACUUUAAAGAAGCUCCGUGUUAUAAGACUACUUAUUCUGAUACAAGAAAACGGCUGAAGUUUAUGGUACAGGAAUGCUGUUCUCAGUCUCUCUAUUACAAAGAGCUGCAUUCGUAUCAUAUUGUGCCUUAUGCUUCGGAGAAUGCCAUUUAUGGAAUGGGCUACACUAGCAGCCACAUGGAGCAAAAUUCUCAGUUGCUUAUUUAUAAAAUGAAUUAAAGUAACUGUUAAGUCCAUUGAUACUUUGUUUCUAAAUGCCUGAACUGUUUAUAGUGAAGAUGUUAACAUAAGGCACUAUUGACCAGUGCACUUGAGAUCAAAGAUGAGAUGCAUGCUGAACUGAUUGGAGAGAACCCUGGUUAUUACUCAGCAGUCCUUUGCAUUAUCAAGUCAAAUUGGAAAUGUGUCCACAUAUUAUAAAGUGGCGAGUAAGUGCUUUAGAAGCAAAGAAACAAAAAAAAAUUUUUUUUUAAGAUAAGGUAUGUGGAAGAGACGUACAUCAAUAUCUUACACAGAUUUAAACAUUUCAAGCUCCCUAUUUCCAAAUUCUGCCACUUAUAGUGGAAAGUAACAAAAAGUAACAGAUUAAACCCAUAAAAUCUUGUCCCUGAGGAUUGAGGGUGGAACAAAUUUACGGUAAUUUUCUGUAAAUGAUGAGGAGAGGAAUAGGUUCUUUCUGAAAAGCUUUGGCUUGUCAAGCAUUGUGCCAAAUCAUUGUUUGACACCAUUCUCCUUUGACCAUUGGUGGAAAUUCAAGAUGGGGCAAACAUACUGCAACUUAGCUGUUGAAUGUAACAACCAGACUACUCCCAACCUGAUCCAUCUUACUUUUUUUUUUUUUCUCGCUUGAUAGAUUUUUCUCUUUAAAAGUGAAAUUUAAUGAAAUAGCCUGUGGAUGGGCUUAUCUCUAAGUUCUAAGAUGGUUAAAAUUUGUGGUGGGUCUUUAGUUAAGAGUUUAAAUUUUAUUUAUGAUGUCAUUUUUUAUAGGCUGUGAAGCUCAGGAAAAGGGUAGGCAGGUAAAAUUUGUUUUUUAAUAGGGUUGAUAAUUUUUAAAAAUCUUAUCUGCAAAAAUUGGCAAGAAUGGCAGAAACUCUACGUGAUGUUAUUUCUUCAUCUUAGAGUGCAUUUAAAGCUGCCUGGAUGAAACUUUGCACUGAUUUUUGUAUAAUAGUCGACCAUUCACUAUUUGACAAAAUGUUUCAGAAUGACUUUGGUAGUGACCUUUAGAUAAGUCCCUAUAUUUUGCAACUUGAAAGAUAAUUAUUUAAUAAGUUGGACAGAGUCCUGAAAUUGUUUGAAGUGGUUCAUAAUGUUCUUUGAGGUUUGAGUGAGAUGUUCGAUUUCAAUGUCUGGAGUUAUGUCCCAUGGAACAUAUCUUUUAAAGAAUUGUCACUAACUGAUAAAACAGAUUGGGAAAACUAGGUGCCAAAGGUAUAUUCAAGAAAAUACCAAAGACCCAAAGAUGAGUAUUAGAGAGACUAUGAUAAUGAAGAUAGGAAUCUAAAACAAGGAUUUCACAGGACAUAGGAGAACAUUGUUAAAAGAUUUUGGAAUGAUUUUAUUACUCAUGUGCUUUCAGAGCACUUUAUACAUGAGAAUGAUAAUCAAGAACACUGCUUUAAACAAAGACAUUACAAGCCUUUAGUGAUCAUAUGUUUUGGCAAAUUUAAAUAUGGUGAUUUGUCAACAUUGUAUCUUUCCUAGUUGGAAGCCAUCUUGUAACCAAGAAGGCCUUUUUCUCUUCAAGUGAAUUUUGUUUUUAGUUUUGAUUCACUACUUGCUCCCUCUAAUGAAUCACAAGGGUGAUUAACAUGGAUGCUUUGGAUAUAAAGAAUAUUGGUACUCUAAUUAGCAUGCAUUGUUGAACACCACGUACAUAAUAAUUGAUAAUCAGGUUUAUAUUUAAUUGCUCAAUCAAAAUUAGGAAAAAAUGCUUUAGAACAAACUAAAAAAUUACAAUUGAGGCUAAUUUUUAAAGGCAGUUUAGUAUGAAUAGUGAGAUAGAUAGCUUUGAAAUACAAAUCUAAAUAUUUAAAAAUUAAGGGCAAAAAUUUGGCACCAAAGUUGAAAACUUAAUUUUACUGCUUAUAAAAUAUCUUAUUUCUCAGAACGCUUCUUUUAAAAUUUCUUAAACACUGGUGAUAUUAAUUGAAUAGAUUCCAAACAUGAUAGGAUAAUUAUACUGUUAUGUAACUAAAAAUUAGAAUUAGCUCUCUAAUAGUUAAAAAUUUUUUUACUGAAAAGAACAUUUGGCUUGGUUUAGGACAGUGUCUAUAAGAAAAACACACCAGCGUUAAUAGAAGUGAGUUAAAAAAGGUCACGUAUUAAAAUUGUUUGAGGAGAGAAACACAAAUACUUUGGAAUAGAAAAGAGAAGGAGUGGAAAAAAUAACCAAGAAAGUGUGAAAUUGUAAUAUUUGUUGUAUAUCGGAAAUCUUAAACAAAGCAAGAACUCUUAGGCAAUGAACCAGUAAGAGACAUAAAGUCUGUUUUGUUUGGUGACUUUGUUAACCCAACUCUCUGAUCUAUACAUUCAUAUGUAGAGAAGAAACUGUCUUAGAAACCAGCAGUAUUUGUGAAUAUGCUUUAAAAAAAUGUGUUGAUUUCAAAACACGUUAUUUAAAAAAUAUCUUUCAGAACAUCUAAUUUCUCUUCCAAUAAACAAUUCAUAGAUAAAGAGUGGACAAAUGUUAUCUUGACUUUUAGAAAAACAAUAAUUUGUAUUUAAACUGUGUAGCUUGUCUGAGUAAACCCGUAAGAUUUCUGUCAUUUUACCAUGGCAAACUGAUGUAGAGGGAGACCCUAUAUAGGCCUGCUCUGCUGACCCCACCAUGCAUGCUCUAUUAUGAGAGAGGCAAACUGUGGGAGACCAGUUACAACUUUUUUGACCUGGACAUCCUUUCUGUGGUGACAAGAGCCACCCUUAGAGUAAGAAAGAUCGGAUGGGAUAUCUGAGUGCCUUUAGUAAUGUUGAUCACUCUUGUGGUGCCGAAACAGCCUGAAGGCCUAUUAAGGAAGAAGAAAAUUUUAAAAAGAGAGUAGAGGAAAAAUGAAGAGAUGAGGAAGAUUAAAAAGAGGGCAGAGAAAUAAGAAACAGGGUUAGUAAAUGAACAAGACAGUUGUUUCAUGUGUGUGUGUGUGUUGGGGGGAGUUGCUUGUUUGCUAUACUCAAUUUUGCUUUCUUAUACCUGCUGUACUUCUAGAACCUGAUGUCCUCAAUGUAUUGAUCGUUUCUUUCAUUUGUCAGUGAUGUAUUAGAUUAGAUUCUAUUCAGUAUAUGUAUUAUUGGAUAUUUGGUGUUAUUAUGAAAUAUCCCUAAAAUUGAGCUCCUGAGUAGAUGAGAAAAGGAAAAUUAGAAAUUAAUUACGUUGAGGGGGAGAGUAAUUGGCAAGCCCGUGUAUACAUGGAUGAGCUCAAACACAUGAUAAGAUUUCAAUGUACAUCCCUAGAUUGAAUAAAUUCAGUACUAGAGGACUUGGAAAUAGUGCAAUUUCCCAUGAUUAGUUGAGCAACUUCUAUGAACCAGGCACUGUGCCUGAGCUGGGGAUACAGAGUGAGUAAUGCACAGUCUCUUUGCUUAAGCAGUUCACUGAUGAGGGAGGGACUCAGAGAUGUUUGGCUUUGGUUUAAAAGGUAAGAACUCUUUAUUGGGAGUUGCACCUGCAUUUCUCUUUUCCAAACUAUGGGAUGGUUGUCAAACAUAUGUCUCCAAGAUGCCCAUGUGGCUAAGAAGAUGCACAGGGAGAAGGGAGGGCCUACUGACCCAGAUCUCAGAGCAGAAGGAGUGUACAUUCUGCUUUGCAGUGUAUUUUAUACUUGGAAGGAUAAUAGAAAACCACUGUUGAAGACGAGAAGCGUGGCUGACCUUAGCUCAUCCCUGAGAAACAAGAGGUCAUAGGGGAGCUGAAGAGACAAAUGCAAAUACAGACCAAUUCCUCCUGCCCUGACCUCCGUAGUUUUCAUGUUCUUUUACAGGGGAAAUCAGGUUAAUAUUAAUGUCAAGGAGAAAUUUGACAGAGAAUCAGGACUGGGAAAUCAUAGCCUGAGAACUGUAUAUAGUAUGUUCGAGGUUAGAAGGGCAGCGGUUUUUAAUUUGCCUUGUGCUGGUGAUUGCUUUAAAGAACCUUGGGAUAUCUUAACAGCAGCUACUGGAGCCCACCUCCUUCUCUACCACUGGCUUCCUCUCUGAAUCAAUCACAGCCAAACAUCCAGUCUUUGCAGUCCACUGGACGUGGAGGUGUGGUUCUAGUUCUUCAUUCUCUCCCUUUUCCCCCAGCGUUGAUACUGAUUUACUCAAAUAUCUGUGGAAGAAAGCAACAAUUUGCAGUACUGAUUGAACUUCUUUGGGAAAGUGUUUCCAGAGUGUAUCAAACUACAAUUUGUCAGUUUCUCUAUACAAUGCUUUGUAAAACUAUUGUGCUUGGUCAUUAAAUAAUUGCCUAUCAAGGUCAUCUUCAUGUUUCUAGAGUUCAAUGUGUUAGUUAUCCAUUGUAUAUGUUUUGCUAAAGAAAAUACUUUAGCUUGGAAACAAUACAAGAUUGUGUAUAAUUAAUUCAAGCAGUUUAUGAAUAUUUAUGUAAUAUAUGGAAUUUUAACUUACAUUUUCCCAUUCUCAAACUUCAUUACCAUGCAUCAGCAUGUGACAUGUUUCAGGUUCUUUGUUUCUUUAUAAGUGGAUCAUGUCUAAAAGUUGUUGUUUCAUUCAUGGUUGAACAUUUUGGAUAAAAUUUCCCCAUUAAAGUAGUUCUAUCUGUUCCCAAGGAUUAUUUAUAGUUGGGUGGGUAAAAAAACUUUCCUCUACAUUAGCACUUCUCAAAUCUUCUUGUGCAUGUAAGUCACUGGAGAUUUUGUUAAAAUAUAGAUUCUUUUUAGUAGGUCUGGGAUGGGGCCCGAGAGUCUGCAUUUCUCAAGUCUUCUUGGUGAUGUAGAUGUUGCCAGUCGACUGACCCUAUUUAGAGUAGUGAGACUCUACAUCAG